AGCUUUGCGCAGUGGCAGUAUCGUAGCCAAUGAGGUUUAUCCGAGGCGCGAUUAUUGCUAAUUGAAAAAGGCUGCCGUGGG
rnacentral:snRNA from 1 species